rnacentral:rRNA from 1 species
AACGAACGCUGGCGGCGUGCCUAACACAUGCAAGUCGUGCGAGAAAGUUCCUUCGGGAGCGAGUAAAGCGGCGCACGGGUGAGUAACACGUAGGUAACCUGCCCCCCAGUCUGGAACAACUAGAGGAAACUCUAGCUAAUGUCGGAUGAGACCACGAUCCCUUCGGGGGUUGCGGCCAAAGAUGGCCUCUACUUGUAAGCUAUCGCUGAGGGAUGGGCCUGCGGGCCAUUAGCUUGUUGGUGAGGUAACGGCUCACCAAGGCUGUGAUGGCUAGCUGGUCUGAGAGGAUGACCAGCCACACUGGGACUGAGACACGGCCCAGACUCCUACGGGAGGCAGCAGUGGGGAAUAUUGCGCAAUGGGCGAAAGCCUGACGCAGCGACGCCGCGUGGGGUGAUGAAGGGCCUUCGGGUCGGUAACGACCUCGUCGCAGGGAAGGAAGUAAGACAUCGGUAUAA